rnacentral:rRNA from 1 species
GAUGAACGCUGGCGGCACGCCUAACACAUGCAAGUCGAACGGAGUUAAUUGAGCUUGCUCAAAUAACUUAGUGGCGGACGGGUGAGUAACACGUGAGCAACCUACCUUUAAGAGAGGGAUAGCUUCUGGAAACGGAUGGUAAUACCUUAUAAAAUAUUUGUAUGGCAUCAUAUAAAUAUCAAAGAUUAAUCACUUAAAGAUGGGCUCGCGUCUGAUUAGCUAGUUGGUAAGGUAACGGCCUACCAAGGCAACGAUCAGUAGCCGGACUGAGAGGUUGAACGGCCACAUUGGGACUGAGACACGGCCCAGACUCCUACGGGAGGCAGCAGUGGGGAAUAUUGCACAAUGGGCGAAAGCCUGAUGCAGCGAUGCCGCGUGAGGGAAGAAGGUUUUCGGAUUGUAAACCUCUGUCAUAAGGGACGAAAACAGACGGUACCUUAGAAGGAAGCUCCGGCUAACUACGUG